GUGCUCACUUUGGCAGCAUAUAUACUAAAAUUGGAACAACACAGAAAUUAACAUGGAUGGCCCUGACACAAAGAUGAUGUGCAAAUUCGUGAAGUGUUCCAUAUUUUU
ensembl:snRNA U6 U6 spliceosomal RNA